GGGAGCUCGUGACCUUGCUGGUCGGAGCUUUCCCACCAGCCUGUCUUUGGCCUUGAGACUACUUGCAGAGAGGAGGGAGCCCGUGACCUUGCUGGUCAGCAGCUUUCCCACCAGCCCGUAUCUCUUUGUGGGGAGGAGAUGGUCCAGGUGCUUGUCCUUGACGGUGUCUGUCUCCAUGGAGGAUAGCGGAUUCUGGAGCCAGGAAGCCAGAGAGUAAGCAGGGAAUGAGUGUUUUGGUUUUAACCCCAUAUAUGCUGGGUUUAAUGUGGGGAAACUGAUACCAGGGUCGGUAUCACUAGAAUUCUAGAUUCACAGAAUAUUCAUCCAGGGUGAACAGUGCAUGAGAGGUCACCUCACCCAUAGCCAUUCCUGCCUCUAAUCACCUCAUUCCCAGAAAGGAUCCCCGAAUGUCACCCAGUGAGGCUCCCUCACCUCUGGGCUUCCAGUGCAGUGUUCUCCACCAUGAAGGCUCUGCCUGAUUAAUCCCAUGAUCAAUAGACAAAGUCAAGUGAAGGGCCCAGUAGGACGGGGGCUCGUGCUAGUUCAGUGCUUGUUCUAGAUGUGCUCUUCAUAUAUCUGUUGAGGAAAUUGAUGGAGAUGGAGAAGUUUAGGGGACCUAAUGUGGAGCAACCAGACCUGUCUUCUCUCCUAAGACCUUCCCAACUACUUAGGAGUUAGGGCCAAUUUCUAGGAUUUUAUUCUUCAGACCAUUAACUUCCACAUGGGAAAACGUAGGGAGUUCCCCAAGUGAAAAGCAAUAAUCCCAAUUGACUGUCACUGGAACAAGAAAAGCUGUAUCACUUAUAUCUAAUGUGACCUAGGGAGAUUAUACAUAUUAAAUAAAAUUGAAGUCUGGCCUGAGGUUACAUAGACUCCAGCCUCACCCAUCACUUCUGCAGAGUCUUCAUGAGCCAGGAAAGCUUCCAGGCUGCAGCCAGACACAGCAAGAUCUGGGGGUGGCUUCCUCUCUUUGCAGAAUUGGUUGGUAUCAAAAGUGGGCAUGUGAUUGAACAGGGGGGUUGGGAGAAUAAUUCAUCCCUGCCUUUUAUAUGUGCUGUCAGCACCCUACAAUCUUCAUAGACUAGGAGCCAGGGCUAUGUUCCCAGGUUGCAAAGCCCACCGGAGCUGGGAACGGAUCUCAUGACUCCAGUUAAUGUGAGGGGCCUGGGGCAUGCGUUCCCAGAUGGGCAGCAUUGUCUCAGUGAUAAGUCCACACUGGGAGAGGGGACCUUCAAGUGUGAGCCAUCACAGCAAGCCCUCCACCACCUGGUCACUACCUCUCCCAGGAACCCCAGCACUCCUGUUUCCAACCAGCCUUCCAGGCAGCCUGAGGACCCAGGAGGUGUCAGCAGGAAGGUACAGCCCUUUGAAGGGGCAGACGUGGAGGAGAUUCUAGAAGAGAGAGGCCACCUGAGCUCACCCACAGGGGAACCAAGCAUGUGCUGAGGCCAUGAGAAAGUCAGCUUCUCAAAAAGUUUUGACACCACAGCAGUGUGGUUGAGAGCAUGGGUUGUAAUGUUGUGCAGCUUUUGUUCAAUCCUCAGCUCUUCCUCGUACUCACUGUGUGACUGUGGGCCAGUUCCCGACCAGGCUGAGCCCCAGGAAGGAAUAGUCUCAACUCACAGGGUUAUUUGAGGUCUAAGUGAGAUCCUGCAAACAAAACACAGCACAGUGUUUGCCACACAGUGAGCUCUCAAUAAAUAUUUGUCAAAUGAACGUCUGAACAAAGAAAAGUGGAAAAUACUAAUAAGUAUAAACUCUCACAAUACUACAGGCAAGAAAUGGCUAUUGUAAUACUAAUUAGAUGUGUAACCUUCUGAAAUUUUUCCUGUGCAAAUAAAGAUAUGUAUUUUUAAUAAAAUGGGAUAUU
ensembl:lncRNA